AUUGAACGCUGGCGGCAGGCCUAACACAUGCAAGUCGAGCGGAUGAGAGGAGCUUGCUUCUCGAUUCAGCGGCGGACGGGUGAGUAAUGCCUAGGAAUCUGCCUGGUAGUGGGGGACCACGUUUCGAAAGGAACGCUAAUACCGCAUACGUCCUACGGGAGAAAGCAGGGGACAUUCGGGCCUUGCGCUAUCAGAUAAGCCUAGGUCGGAUUAGAUAGUUGGUGAGGUAAGGGCUCACCAAGGCGACGAUCCGUAACUGGUCUGAGAGGAUGAUCAGUCACACUGGAACUGAGACACGGUCCAGACUCCUACGGGAGGCAGCAGUGGGGAAUAUUGGACAAUGGGCGAAAGCCUGAUCCAGCCAUGCCGCGUGUGUGAAGAAGGUCUUCGGAUUGUAAAGCACUUUAAGUUGGGAGGAAGGGUUGUAGAUUAAUACUCUGCAAUUUUGACGUUACCGACAGAAUAAGCACCGGCUAACUCUGUGCCAGCCGCCGCCGUAACAC
rnacentral:rRNA from 1 species